GGGUGACUGCGUACCUUUUGUAUAAUGGGUCAGCGACUUAUAUUCUGUAGCAAGGUUAACCGUAUAGGGGAGCCGUAGGGAAACCGAGUCUUAACUGGGCGAAUAAGUUGCAGGGUAUAGACCCGAAACCCGGUGAUCUAGCCAUGGGCAGGUUGAAGGUUGGGUAACACUAACUGGAGGACCGAACCGACUAAUGUUGAAAAAUUAGCGGAUGACUUGUGGCUGGGGGUGAAAGGCCAAUCAAACCGGGAGAUAGCUGGUUCUCCCCGAAAGCUAUUUAGGUAGCGCCUCGUGAACUCAUCUUCGGGGGUAGAGCACUGUUUCGACUAGGGGGUCAUCCCGACUUACCAACUCGAUGCAAACUACGAAUACCGAAGAAUGUUAUCACGGGAGACACACGGCGGGUGCUAACGUUCGUCGUGAAGAGGGAAACAACCCAGACCGCCAGCUAAGGUCCCAAAGUCAUAGUUAAGUGGGAAACGAAGUGGGAAGGCUCAGACAGCCAGGAUGUUGGCUUAGAAGCAGCCAUCAUUUAAAGAAAGCGUAAUAGCUCACUGGUCGAGUCGGCCUGCGCGGAAGAUGUAACGGGGCUAAACUAUGCACCGAAGCUGCGGCAGCGAUAUGUAAAUAUUGUUGGGUAGGGGAGCGUUCUGUAAGCCUGUGAAGGUGUGCUGUGAGGCAUGCUGGAGGUAUCAGAAGUGCGAAUGCUGACAUAAGUAACGAUAAUGCGGGUGAAAAACCCGCACGCCGGAAGACCAAGGGUUCCUGUCCAACGUUAAUCGGGGCAGGGUGAGUCGACCCCUAAGGCGAGGCAGAAAUGCGUAGUCGAUGGGAAACGGGUUAAUAUUCCCGUACUGGUGAUAAUUGCGAUGGGGGGACGGAGAAGGCUAGGCUAUCCGGGCGACGGUUGUCCCGGUUUAAGGAUGUAGGCAGGUGAAUUAGGCAAAUCCGGUUCACUACAUGCUGAGGUCCGAUGACGAGUCACUACGGUGAUGAAGUAGCUCAUGCCCCGCUUCCAGGAAAAGCCUCUAAGCUCUAGAUUAUCAUUAAUCGUACCCCAAACCGACACAGGUGGUCAGGUAGAGAAUACUCAGGCGCUUGAGAGAACUCGGGUGAAGGAACUAGGCAAAAUGGUGCCGUAACUUCGGGAGAAGGCACGCUGGCAUUAGGUGAAGUGAUUUACUCAUGGAGCUGAAGCCAGUCGCAGAUACCAGCUGGCUGCAACUGUUUAUUAAAAACACAGCACUGUGCAAACACGAAAGUGGACGUAUACGGUGUGACGCCUGCCCGGUGCUGGAAGGUUAAUUGAUGGGGUUAUCCGUAAGGAGAAGCUCUUGAUCGAAGCCCCAGUAAACGGCGGCCGUAACUAUAACGGUCCUAAGGUAGCGAAAUUCCUUGUCGGGUAAGUUCCGACCUGCACGAAUGGCGUAAUGAUGGCCAGGCUGUCUCCACCCGAGACUCAGUGAAAUUGAACUCGCUGUGAAGAUGCAGUGUACCCGCGGCAAGACGGAAAGACCCCGUGAACCUUUACUAUAGCUUGACACUGAACAUUGAGCCUUGAUGUGUAGGAUAGGUGGGAGGCUUUGAAGCGUGGACGCCAGUCUGCGUGGAGCCAACCUUGAAAUACCACCCUUUAAUGUUUGAUGUUCUAACGUUGCCCCAUUAUCUGGGGUGCGGACAGUGUCUGGUGGGUAGUUUGACUGGGGCGGUCUCCUCCCAAAGAGUAACGGAGGAGCACGAAGGUUGGCUAAGCAUGGUCGGACAUCAUGCGGUUAGUGCAAAGGCAUAAGCCAGCUUGACUGCGAGAGUGACGGCUCGAGCAGGUACGAAAGUAGGUCUUAGUGAUCCGGUGGUUCUGAAUGGAAGGGCCAUCGCUCAACGGAUAAAAGGUACUCCGGGGAUAACAGGCUGAUACCGCCCAAGAGUUCAUAUCGACGGCGGUGUUUGGCACCUCGAUGUCGGCUCAUCACAUCCUGGGGCUGAAGUAGGUCCCAAGGGUACGGCUGUUCGCCGUUUAAAGUGGUACGCGAGCUGGGUUUAGAACGUCGUGAGACAGUUCGGUCCCUAUCUGCCGUGGGCGUUGGAAGAUUGAAAGGGGCUGCUCCUAGUACGAGAGGACCGGAGUGGACGCACCACUGGUGUUCGGGUUGUCAUGCCAAUGGCAUUGCCCGGUAGCUAAGUGCGGAAGAGAUAACCGCUGAAAGCAUCUAAGCGGGAAACUUGCCUUGAGAUGAGUCUUCCCUGACUCUUUAAGAGUCCUAAAGGAACGUUUAAGACUAAGACGUUGAUAGGUUGGGUGUGUAAGCGUAGCGAUACGUUGAGCUAACCAAUACUAAUGAACCGUGAGGCUUAACCUGACAACACCGAAGGUGUUUUAG
rnacentral:rRNA from 1 species